UGAAGAUAGGACAAUAGUUAUACCAUCGCGGAAGUGCACUAUCGCGUACUGUCUUGCAUCUUGUCUUGAAACCAAAGAAACCGUGGAACCUGCUGUUAAUUUGCAAAGCGACAGCAUAGAAAACGACAAUAUUCAAAGGCCCACUUUGGCGCAAGACUUCCCAGUUGAAGAGAAGAGUGAAUUUAGUCCACUUGUAUAUUCUGCACAGGAUGAUAACUUUUCGGUUAAUGGUGACGAGGAUAUGGAAAAAAUUGAACUUCAAACUUCAAAUGUCGAGAAUGUUCAGAUUACUACUUCUUCAGAUAAUGAAUCAUGAUGCGUUUAUGGAACAUACUAAAGAUUACAGUUAAAGAUGAAGGGCAGCCUACUCUUCCAUUCCGGAAAGUUCCACACGCAUAG